GGGACUCAGCGGUAGAGCUUCUGCUGUGCACGCAAAGGGUCCCAGGUUCAAUUCCUGGUGCCUCCA
rnacentral:tRNA from 1 species